UCAAGCUAGAAAGGGCGUAUGGUGGAUGCCUAGGCGUCAAGAGGCGAAGAAGGACGCGGCAAGCUGCGAUAAGCCACGGGGAGCUGCAAGCGAGCAUAGAUCCGUGGAUGUCCGAAUGGGGGAACCCACCUGGUGGGAGACCAGGUACCCUGGCCUGAAUAAAAUAGGGUCAGCGGGGCGAGACCCGGUGAACUGAAACAUCUUAGUAGCCGGAGGAAGAGAAAGUAACAACGAUUCCCUGAGUAGUGGCGAGCGAAAGGGGAAGAGCCUAAACCGCUGGUGUGUGAUAGGCUGCAGCCGUUGCACCAGUGGGGUAGAGGGAGUAUCCGUGGUCGAGCUGCAGAUUGGCCGGAGAGUUACAAAAUAGCUGUUUAGUGGAAGCUGGCUGGAAAGCCACACCACAGAAGGUGAAAGUCCUGUACGCGAAAGGCAGCUAUCUCUCGGGAUACCACCCAAGUACCGCUGGACACGUGGAAUCUGGUGGGAAUCAGGGAGGACCACCUCCUAAGGCUAAAUACUACUUGACGACCGAUAGCGAUUAGUACCGUGAGGGAAAGGUGAAAAGCACCCCGGGAGGGGAGUGAAAGAGAACCUGAAACCAUAUGCCUACAAGCAGUCAGAGCACUAUUGGGAGUUUCGGCUUCCAAGUGUGAUGGCGUACUUUUUGUAGAACGGGCCGACGAGUUACGGUAGCAAGCGAGGUUAAGUCUUAAAGGGACGGAGCCGAAGCGAAAGCGAGUCUUAAGAGGGCGUUGAGUUUGCUGCUGUAGACCCGAAACCGGGUGAGCUACCCAUGACCAGGGUGAAGCGAUGGUAACGCAUCGUGGAGGCCCGAACCAGGGGAUGUUAAAAAAUCCGUGGAUGAGUUGUGGGUAGGGGUGAAAUGCCAAUCGAACCCGGAGAUAGCUGGUUCUCCCCGAAAUAGCUUUCGGGCUAGCCUCAGAUGUUUCCUAACGGAGGUAGAGCACUGGUUUGGCUAGGGGCCCUCACCGGUUACCGAACCAUCCCAAACUCCGAAUGCCGUUAAGGUAAGAAUCUGGGAGUCAGACUGCGGGCGAUAAGGUUCGUAGUCGAGAGGGAAACAGCCCAGACCGCCAGCUAAGGUCCCCAAAUUAGACUAAGUGGGAAAGGAAGUAGAGUCGCCCAGACAACCAGGAUGUUGGCUUAGAAGCAGCCAUCAUUCAAAGAGUGCGUAAUAGCUCACUGGUCAAGUGACUCUGCGCCGAAAAUGUAACGGGGCUAAAGUCUAAUACCGAAGCUGCGGCACGACACCUAGAGUGUCGUGGGUAGGGGAGCGUUCUCAUUGGGCAGAAGCAUGACUGUAAGGACAUGUGGACUGAUGAGAAGUGAGAAUGUCGGCAUGAGUAAGCGAGAAGGCAGGUGAGAAUCCUGCCCGCCGUAAGCCUAAGGUUUCCUGGGGAAGGCUCGUCCGCCCAGGGUAAGCCGGGACCUAAGCCGAGGCCGAAAGGCGUAGGCGAUGGACAAUCGGUUGAGAAUCCGAUGCCACCUUGUACCGAUUGAGUGAUGGGGUGACGCAGGAGGGUAGACGAAGCGCACGGUUGGAAGAGUGCGUCCAAGCUCGUAGGGUGUGAGGCAGGCAAAUCCGCCUCACGUAAAGCCUGAGGAGUGAGGGGGAGGGAAAUAUAGUACCGAAGUCGUUGACCCCAUACUGCCGAGAAAAGCCUCUAGCGAGGUGCAAGGUGCCCGUACCGCAAACCGACACAGGUAGGCGAGGAGAGAAUCCUAAGGCGCGCGAGAGAACCCUCGUUAAGGAACUCGGCAAAAUGACCCUGUAACUUCGGGAGAAAGGGUGCCCCGUGUAGUGUAGCCAUGUUAGACAUGUGGUGGCACGAGGGGGUCGCAGAGAAGAGGCCCAGGCGACUGUUUAUCAAAAACACAGGUCUCUGCGAAAUCGAAAGAUGAAGUAUAGAGGCUGACGCCUGCCCGGUGCUGGAAGGUUAAGGGGAAAGGUUAGUCUUCGGGCGAAGCUUUGAACCGAAGCCCCAGUGAACGGCGGCCGUAACUAUAACGGUCCUAAGGUAGCGAAAUUCCUUGUCUGGUAAGUUCAGACCCGCACGAAAGGCGUAACGAUCUGGGCGCUGUCUCAACGAGGGGCUCGGUGAAAUUGUAAUACCGGUGAAGAUGCCGGUUACCUGCGAUAGGACAGAAAGACCCCGUGGAGCUUUACUGCAACUUGAUAUUGGAUUUUGGCAGGUCAUGUACAGGAUAGGUGGGAGGCAGAGAAGCGAGUCCGCCAGGAUUCGUGGAGCCACUGGUGGGAUACCACUCUUGAUGUGCUGGAGUUCUAACCUCGGGCCGUAAUCCGGUCCAGGGACAGUGUCAGGCGGGCAGUUUGACUGGGGCGGUCGCCUCCUAAAAGGUAACGGAGGCGCCCAAAGGUUCCCUCAGCGCGGAUGGAAAUCGCGCGAAGAGUGUAAAGGCAUAAGGGAGCUUGACUGCGAGAGAGACAUUUCGAGCAGGGACGAAAGUCGGGCUUAGUGAUCCGGCGGUUCCGAGUGGAAGGGCCGUCGCUCAACGGAUAAAAGCUACCCCGGGGAUAACAGGCUUAUCUCCCCCAAGAGUCCACAUCGACGGGGAGGUUUGGCACCUCGAUGUCGGCUCAUCACAUCCUGGGGCCGGAGAAGGUCCCAAGGGUUGGGCUGUUCGCCCAUUAAAGUGGUACGUGAGCUGGGUUCAGAACGUCGUGAGACAGUUCGGUCCCUAUCCAUCGCAGGCGUAGGAAACUUGAGAGGAGCUGUCCCUAGUACGAGAGGACCGGGAUGGACAGACCGCUGGUGUACCAGUUGUCUCGCCAGAGGCACAGCUGGGUAGCUAUGUCUGGGACGGAUAAGCGCUGAAAGCAUCUAAGCGCGAAGCCGACCUCAAGAUGAGGUUUCCCACUGGGUUAACCAGGUAAGACCCCAGCAAGAUUAGCUGGUUGAUAGGCCGGGGGUGUAAGUGCAGCAAUGCAUUCAGCCGACCGGUACUAAUAGGUCGAGGGCUUGACCUA
rnacentral:rRNA from 1 species